UGCCAUGGUCUCCCAUAACGACUUUCUCCUGAAAAAGAAAAUCUAUUUUAAUAUCUUGUAUCUUUCAGCGGACGUUUUUUGUCAACAACAGAAGUGAUUACAGGAUUUCCCGGCACUAUCUGGGAGCAGUGAAGGCAGUUGGUACUGGACUGGGCAGGCACUGUUAUCGACUGCGGGGUGUUCUCUCCUGCCGGGGCUUUCAUGGCCAUCUUCGAGGAGGAGGGGGUACCCGUGACCAACGACGAGGCCAGGGGUCCCAUGGGCAUGCAUAAGAGGGCUCACAUUGUCAAAAUGCUGGACAGAGAGCGUUGAGGUCUAGAUGGAUAAAAGCCAAGGGCCGACCACCAACAGAAGCUGAUAUUGACCGGCUCUACUCCAAAUUCGUUCCGAAGAAUAUCGAGGCUCUGGAAAAGCACUCCGAACUCAUUGA